rnacentral:rRNA from 1 species
AACGAACGCUGGCGGCAUGCCUAACACAUGCAAGUCGAACGAGACCUUCGGGUCUAGUGGCGCACGGGUGCGUAACGCGUGGGAACCUGCCCUUAGGUUCGGAAUAACUCCCCGAAAGGGGUGCUAAUACCGGAUAAUGUCUUCGGACCAAAGAUUUAUCGCCUUUGGAUGGGCCCGCGUUGGAUUAGCUAGUUGGUAGGGUAAAAGCCUACCAAGGCGACGAUCCAUAGCUGGUCUGAGAGGAUGAUCAGCCACACUGGGACUGAGACACGGCCCAGACUAGUAGGGGAGGAGUGGGGGGGGGAGGUAGGCAAACGGGCGAAAGAUGGGUGCAACAAGGGGGAGUGGGAGAUGAAGGUAUGAGGGUUGAAAAGCUCUUUAGACGGGGAUAAUAAUGAGAAUAGCAGGAGAAUCAGCACCGGCUAACUCCGUGCCAGGAGCGGAGGUAAUAAGAGGAAGAGCACCGGGCUGAAC